rnacentral:rRNA from 1 species
GUCCACGCCGUAAACGGUGGAUGCUGGAUGUGGGGACCAUUCCACGGUCUCCGUGUCGGAGCCAACGCGUUAAGCAUCCCGCCUGGGGAGUACGGCCGCAAGGCUAAAACUCAAAGAAAUUGACGGGGGCCCGCACAAGCGGCGGAGCAUGCGGAUUAAUUCGAUGCAACGCGAAGAACCUUACCUGGGCUUGACAUGUUCCCGACAGCCCCAGAGAUGGGGCCUCCCUUCGGGGCGGGUUCACAGGUGGUGCAUGGUC